UACGGAGGAUGCGAGCGUUAUCCGGAAUCACUGGGUUUAAAGGGUGCGUAGGUGGGCAGAUAAGUCAGAGGUGAAAGCUGGUCGCUUAACGAUCAAAUUGCCUUUGAUACUGUUUGUCUUGAAAUAUGGUGAGGUUGGCAGAAUGUGACAUGUAGCGGUGAAAUGCAUAGAUAUGUCAUAGAAUACCAAUUGCGAAGGCAGCUGACUGGCCAUUAUUUGACACUGAGGCACGAAAGCGUGGGGAGCGAACAGG
rnacentral:rRNA from 1 species